rnacentral:lncRNA from 1 species
UAAAACAGGUUCUAGUGAAAUUAAGAGAAUCAUUUGGGAAUUCUUUGAAAACAUAUUUCAAAAAUCUGGAAAAUCUAAAAGAAAUGGAUAGAUUCCUAGGCAUAUUGAUGGACCAGCCUGACCCAUUUUGAGAUUAGAAGCCAUCUUGUUACAUGGUCAAAAUAAAUUCAUUCCUGUUUUCUGUAAACUUGGGUUUGACAGGGCCUUGGCCCAUUUUCUGGAAUUUGACAUGUUCCAUACACUAUACACCUAUCUCCACCCUGACUAGAGCUUCUGCCAAGUUCCUAUGUAAUCUAGUCUUUUGGAUCUUAAUAAAGCUAUAUAAAUCCUACUUCCUUCUAUGUUCAAUGCUAUUCUUUCAAUUCCCAAAUUAGGGAAACAGCCCUGUCUGACAGAAAAUAAAGCUUGCUUAACUUGACAAAAAAAAAAAAAAAAAAAAAAAAAGGUUGGGCAAUGAGGUUAACAAUACAACCUAUUAAAAUUAACUCCAGAAGAUACAAUUUAAGUAUAUCCAUGAUUAAAGCAUCAAUAAAAGUUCCAGGAAAAGUCAAGUUCAAUGGAUUCCCUGCUGAAUCCCACUAAUGCUUAAAGAAAGGCUAAUAAUACCAGUGCUGCUCAAACUAGGUUAAAAAACAGAAGAGGAAGGAAGGAACACUACCUGCCUCAUGUAUGAUCACCCUGAUGAUAAGUCAUACAGCAUGCAACAAACAAAACCAUAGCCCAAUCCCUCUGAUCUACAUGUAAAUAAAAAUUCUCCAUACACAUCAUAAGUUGAAUAGAAGAACACAUUAAGAUCAUAGAACCAUGACUAAGUUUCAUUCCAAGAUUUUCAGGAAGGUUCCACAUAGGUAAAUCAAUAAAUACAGCAGACAGCCUCAAGAACAGAAAUUAUAUCUCAGUAGACAAUCAGAGGAGACACAGCAUCUCCUCUAAUAUCAGGAAUAGAGACAAAAGUGUCCACUCUUUCCACUCUUAUUCAAUAUGGUAUUGUGAGUGUAAGCCAGAGCAACAAGACAAAAAUAACACAGACGAAAGGGAGAAGUCAUAUGAUCUCUAUUCACAGACUACACAACUCCAUACUUAAAAGACUCUAAAGAUCUGACCAGAAAACUCUUAAUUAUGAUAAACACUAUCACCAAAAUAUAUAAGUUCAAUAAACAAACAAAACAAUAGCUUUUCUAUAAAGCAAUAAACUUACU